ensembl:lncRNA uncharacterized LOC115023774
UAUCACUCUCCCCUGCAGCUUAUUGCAUCUCCUCCUCGGUGUGUCAGGUUGUCAGGCAAGUCGGUCUCCUGCAGCACAGGCUGUCGUUAAGACCGUCGCGCUCUUGCCCCCUUCAUCCCGAGGUCACCUUCUGCCAUGGAGCGGACCCCGCUGUGUCUGUGUGUCGCGGUCGCCCUGCUGAUUACUGGUGAGUACUGAAGUUAAAAUCACAGUGGUUGUUCUUUGAACUUCUCUGUAGCAAUAAGCCAUCCUCUCCUCUGCGGGCGCUCAGGCUCGCAAGGUUGCAAGUUGUGGCAAUCGGACUUAACGGGUCAAUGACCAUCUGAGUGCGUGUGCUAUUUUGGUGUACAUGUUUCGUGCGAACUUCCCAGGGUCGACUGGGACAGUCUGUUACACUGCUGUGGAAUCGCUGGACUUAAGAUGCCUCCUGCGGUGGGAUUGUCCCCGUGCCAGUCCUAAUACCACCUACACCGUGCAGACAAAGACUCAGGGGGACCCCUGGCAGGACGUACCGUGGUGCGUUUGGAUCUCGUCCUGCAGCUGCGAUGUCUCGCAGGCCUUCUCAAACUUUGAACUGUACAACAUGAUUCGUCUGGGUGUCCACCUCAGCCCCAGCUCCACUGUCUGGAUGAAGCCACGCAAGUUCGACUACAGUGACUUCACCUUCAGCCCUCCCUCUGUCUCGGCCUCUUUGAAAGACGAACAGCUGCUGGUGAAGGUGCAGUUCCCCUGUGCUGCCAACAGGAGGUGCUCUCUGGGGCGGUGCUGUCCCAUCUCUGAAUUGAUUGACCCCUGGACCACAGUGACUGUGUACAACAAGCUCAAUCACUCCGAGUACCAGAGCCGUACAGUUUGGACCCAGCAAGUUGUGUCCCAUGUGGAGUUCUCAGGUUUGUCUCCAGGUCAGAACUACUGUGCUGUGGCCAACUUCUCCUUCCCGACCUUCUCCAUGGCGGCUUCCCCGAAGUCUGCCCCUCAGUGUGUGGAGACCGUUUCCAAAUCAGGGCGGCUGCUGCCUGCGCUGUUUCUGGGAAUCGGGCUGACUUCUCUGUUCAUAGUUCCACUUCUCACCGUGUUUCUGAGAAGACCCAGACGAGCUGAACCAACCACUGAAAAUCAACCAAAGACUCCGGUAUGAUAGAAAAGAAUUCGUUGAUUCGUUGCUAUUUCUCCUUGACGGACUUUUCACCUUUUUCUUAAGGCGUCCAUUCAUGAUCCAGUCUCUUCGGUCCCCCUCCCCCCGGUCCCUGUCGACCCUCGUGACAUCCACCUGGAGUUUGUGAGUCUUGCAGCCAGCGCUGGACAAAGGUUUGGCUGAACCCAUCAUACAUCACUAAAGGGAAAGAAACGCUCUGGGUUGUUUGCAUUUCUUUAAGUCUUGGACGGCGCUGAGCCCAGGAUGCAGCGACGGCGCCCUGUCGACAUGCCCCUGCAAACAUAGUGUCAUCAGAUCGGAAGGAGAGGAGACAUCCGUCUGAAGAAGGUGGCCAAUGACUUAUACGUACAGUCUAAGACUAGGAAUUCAAUUCUCCAUCGAGGACCUCGACACACACCAGUGAUCCUCUCCGUCCCGACCCCGGAUCAGGUGCGGCUGCGUGCUGGGACAGCGAGAUGGAACCGGAGCGAGGCCUGGACCGUGGUAUCAGCAUCCCAGCUGUGUCUGACUCUUCUUAGAAGACAUGUGGCAAAAAUGGAGACUGAAAGACGACUGCUACUGUGUCAUCUUUGACCUCUGACAUUAAUUUAUCGUGGACCUUGAAUGGAGUCCGUUGCUCUGAAGGUGAAAGGUCACGACCCUAUAUUGAAUGUAUUGUUGAAAGUAACAUGUAAUUCUGUCAUCAAGUGAUAGAAAUGUGGCUCCCCAUUUUAACCAUACGAGCACAUUCCUCUCGUAGGAUAUGAGUCAGAGUGAGAGGGUCAGAGACUCGACUGGUGAGUGAGAGCCACCAAUGAAGCAGAAAUGGUUUAUCGGACAAGUCCAAAAAGAGCUGUUUUCCUGUGUAUGUACCACUGAUUCAGUGAAAAAUCUAAAUCGGGUUGCGGUUCUUCCCCCUCCAGUGACACUAAACAGGCCGGUCCAAACCAUAAGCUUCAUAAACAAGAACGUCCGACUCCCCAUAUACGGCCAACGGCUCCUCAAAAGUGAUAACGGGGGCUGGUUUUCUCCGAUCAUUCGUUGCUCUUUCUGACUCACAGUUGCCCCAUCGGAGCUUCGCCUCCUCUUACCCGUGACUGACACCUCAUCCUGCCUCCUGCGUGAAAACAAGGAACAUCUUGACAGCUCGCUCUUCUGCCUUCUGUUUUGCUGGUGUUGCAUUCUUUCCGCAACAUUGGGGAACAUUUUGGGGGGGGUUUGGCCGUCCAGCAUUGUUUGUUUCCCCUUCUACUUUUUCCAGAGUCCACAGAGACCUGGGGGGUUAUCCAAAGCUCAACCUACAAGCCAGUGUGUAUGGCUUUUAUUAAUAAGCAUAGUGCGUAUUAUGCUUGUGGGAGGGAUGGUUGAUGUAUGAAGCAAGGAGCUGGCUUGUGUGACGGAGCACCUGACAACACAACAGUCACGCUGGACCUUUUGUUUAUUCCCUUUUCUGCUGUUUGCAGUAAUUCUUCUGAAAGUAUCCGCUGGGGUGUCGUGUUGCUGAUCAUGUGGUUGUGUAUUGUGGCAUGCACAUGUGGAGUGAACUGCAGCAAAUCAUGUACAAGUGUAUCAAGGUUAUAUUGAAACUGUGGUUGGAAUACUUUAAUUGAAUAUAAAUUGUGUUUUUGAACAUGUUGGCCAUUUCUUUGAGUUUAUAGAUCAUUUGAAGUCAUUAUGUAGAAUUUAAUUAUCUU